rnacentral:rRNA from 1 species
AUUGAACGCUGGCGGCAGGCCUAACACAUGCAAGUCGAACGAGUGGCGGACGGGUGAGUAAUGUCUGGGAAUCUGCCUGAUGGAGGGGGGUAACUACUGGAAACGGUAGCUAAUACCGCAUACCAUCAGAUGUUCCCAGAUGGUAUUAGCUUGUGGGUGGGGUAACGGCUCACCAAGGCGACGCUCCCUAGCUGGUCUGAGAGGAUGCCCAGCAACACGGGAACGGAGACACGGCCCAGACUCCUACGGGAGGCAGCAGGGGGGAAUAUUGCACAAUGGGCGCAAGCCGGAUGCAGCCAUGCGGCGUGUAUGAAGAAGGCCUUCGGGUUGUAAAGUACUUUCAGCGGGGAGGCGUUACCCGCAGAAGAAGCACCGGCUAACUCCGUGCCAGCAGCCGCGGUAAUAC